rnacentral:rRNA from 1 species
CUUGUAGUAAUAGUAAUUAUGAAGCAUAAAGUUAUGGCGGUAUUUUAAGCUUUUCAGAGGAAUUUGCUCUUUAAUGGAUAAAACACCUAAAUCUUACUUAAAUUAGUUAAGUCAAUUUGUAUACCACUAUAAAAUUAAUUAUUAACUUUAAUUAAUAAAAUUUAUAAAGUAUUAAAAUAAAUUAAGUCAAGGUGCAGUAAAAAUUUAAGUAUGAAGUGAAUUACAUUUCUUUUAAGAGAUUAACGCAUUAAAAUCAAAUUAGGAUUUGAAAGUAAAUUUAAAAUAGUAUGUUAAUUUGAAUAAAGCUCUAAAAUAUGUAC